GGGCUUGACAUCCCACGAAUCCCUUCGAAAGAAGGGAGUGCCCGCAAGGGAGCGCGGAGACAGGUGGUGCAUGGCUGUCGUCAGCUCGUGUCGUGAGAUGUUGGGUUAAGUCCCGCAACGAGCGCAACCCUCACCCCUUGUUGCCAUCAGGUCAUGCUGGGCACUCUAGGGGAACUGCCCCGGUCAACGGGGAGGAAGGCGGGGAUGACGUCAAGUCAUCAUGCCCCUUACGCCCUGGGCUACACACGUGCUACAAUGGCCGGUACAAAGGGAUGCCACGCCGUGAGGCAGAGCCAAACCCAAAAAGCCGGUCUAAGUUCAGAUUGGAGUCUGCAACUCGACUCCAUGAAGGAGGAAUCGCUAGUAAUCGCGUAUCAGCACGACGCGGUGAAUACGUUCCCGGGCCUUGUACACACCGCCCGUCACACCACGAAAGCCAGUUGUACUCGAAGUCGCUGAG
rnacentral:rRNA from 1 species